rnacentral:tRNA from 8 species
UCCUCUGUAGUUCAGUCGGUAGAACGGCGGACUGUUAAUCCGUAUGUCACUGGUUCGAGUCCAGUCGGAGGAGCCA